rnacentral:rRNA from 1 species
AUGGAGAAGGCCGGUAGCAAGGUGACAGUCAAAGUGGAGGAGCCGAACCUGGAGGGCCACGGCGGCGGCAGCAACUCUGCCGCGCCGGGAGGAGGAUCGACGGCCGUGCUGCCGCUCCAGCAGGGUGCGUUGUUGCCGGCGGACCGCUUUGCAGUUGUUCUGCCGGACAUCUCCCUUGGCGCCCCCGCAACCAUCACCGUCAGCAUCGGCGACCAUCGCAGCGAGGCGAAAGCCGCCGAGGAUAAACUCCAGAAGGUCAAGGCAAAGGGGCACGUUCUCAAGAUGGGUCCCUGCGGCGGCCCCCGUGGCGACGCCUGGAAGAUGGACGUGCGCGGCGGCGACCGCAUCGUCAAGGUAAUACUGUGGCAUGCAGGCGCCGUCGACGCCAUCUCGGUGUCUUACGAGCGUGACGGCCGGAUUGAGCAGACGGAGCACUGGGGAAAACUUGAGGGUCGACAGCGCUCAGAGAUCUGUCUGGAGCCGGACGAAUACCUCACCGGUAUGAAAGGGCAUGUGGGCGAGUUUGGUGGCUCUUUCCUCGUUGGAGCGCUUACUUUAGUUGGCAACCGGCGCUCCUUCGGACCAUACGGGACACGGAAAGGCCCGCCGUUCGAGCUGCCAGCGGUGGGCGGCAGGAUAGUUGGCUUCCACGGGCGCUCCGGAGGCCUCAUUGACGCACUUGGCAUUUACGUCGAAACGGACAACUAA